rfam:Aedes albopictus isolate Foshan contig149498, whole genome shotgun sequence.
GACUCGGUAGCUUAGUUGGAAAAGCACUUGUCUAGCGAAUAAGGGUCGUGAGUUCAAAUCUCACCUGAGCUG